ensembl:lncRNA
AUGCUAAGAAAUCUGUGUUUGCAGCCCUCAGAGAAGAUGCAUCAUUGGUUCUCCAAGCACUGGGACAUACACUUGAAAGGAGACCACACCAACCCAAAAUCAGGAUUUCUAACCUGCUCGUCAGGGCUCUGGCUCGAGAAGUCCCAGCCUGCUGUACCUGCGUGCUGGCUCCUUGGCAAGGAUGAUAGUGCAACACGUGCUUUGCUGAGCCAAAGCAAAAUGGCAUUGCUGCCUAUCCAUGCUGGCUGUCAGCAGGCCCAUGCGAUUUGUGUCACUGCUCUGCCAUUUCAGCAAAGGACACAGCAGCAGAUGGAAGGAAACACAGCUGACUGGUGUACAGGGCCUUUCACCGCUCCUUCCCAGACCAUUUCCUGGGUACCGUGCUUCUCCAGCCUGGCAAAUUUUCUUUCCAUCUACUCUUUCACCUCCCACGAGGCUACUACAGAUCCUGUCCAUGUACAAGGUUUUUGCAUUAAUGAAUUGUACAGAAGUUUGGGAUCCUGUGAUGAAAUGUGCACUAAGGUCAUAAAAGACUUUUUAAAGUGUUUCUGAAUGUUACUGGAGACAAUCCAAAGGCAACUUUAAUUUGAAUUUUCUAUCUCAGCCAUAUGAGUUUGGCAAGAGCAAAAAUAUGUUCUGCGGGUAUUUUGGGGGACUUUACUCCAUGGGAGGAACGAAGAGUGCGGAACCUGAGACUUCAACUCGUCCCUAAUGAAAACAAAUGCCUUCGGCGGGGCAGAAGAUUACUGCCAAGGUCAGCAUUAACCUGGGCCCUCUGGCGUCGGGCCGGGCGGCCGGCGCUCCUGGGGCGAGGGGACAGCAAAGGGAAGGGGGAGCCCCCUCGGGGAGCCCUGCCGGGGCCGAGCCGGCCCAGGGGCUGGCACCAGGGCCCCGUCCCCGGGCCCGCACUGCCUCCCAGCGGGCAUCGGCUGCUCCUCCUCCGUGGGGAAGGGCUGCCGGCUGAGGAAGCUGCUGCCCGAGGGCAGCUGAAGGGGAAUUGACUUAUGGCCGGGUGCCGGGCUCCUGGGAAGCAGAGCCCGGCCACACGUGGGAUCAUCCUCCAGCGGGGAGCACUGCGUGGUCUUGGAUGUGCCCUUCAUUCAUGGGUAUCGGCAGGAUGUAAGCCUCCAUUUAUUAAAAAAAAAAAAAAAAUCGGUGGGCAACCUUACAAAUGUGAAAUCGUGUAGUAUUGACCGGCACGCAGGCAGCCCUGUCCCUGUCACUCAGCUUUGACAAGCAGCAGCAGAGCGGCUUCCCAGGGCCGCAGCCAGCUGUACGCCACCCUCUGUGCAGCGCUUUCAGCGAUUUAUUUCUUCUUCUUGAGUGUGCACCAGCACAGGAGAACAGAAAGGGAUCCCCAAAAUGGAGACUUAAGCCCAGGGAGGCUAAGCCACGUCUUGCUGCAGUUAAGGUCUCCUGAAGUCGGGAGCUUCCACCCCCCAGCCUUGUGCAAGUGCUGUUGUCAUCCCAAAAACAGGCACUGGAGCCUUCAUGUGGAAAUGUCAGUGUGGUCACUGCCAUCACAAAUGGGGAGGGAGCUUGGGGAAAACACCCCUGGGGACCCCUCCUCCAGCCCUGUGGAAGUCAGAGGGCCGUGCAAACAGCUGUAAGGGUUAGAGCUGUUGCCCAUGCUGUAAGUGCUGCCUUCCCUUGCCUCGUACCUUGUAGCGUGGGGAAGGAUCACGGGGUGCUAUAUAGCACUUGCACGGGUUAUACGAAUAAACAAAGAUUUCUGUGUCUAGGUGUGUCA